ensembl:lncRNA
AUGAUAAUAAAAAAUAUACAAAUUGGAAUUAUUAUUUUAAAAUGAAUGAAGAUAUAGAUAAUGAAAAUAUGUAUAAUGUUGAAUAUAUAGAUAUAGAUUUAUUGAAAAAAAGAUAUGUGUUUGAUUCUUUGAAUAACAUAAUUGUAUUACAUAAUGUGAAUGCAAUAUAUAUAUGUACACUACAUAUACCGUUACUAAUUUUAGUCCUGAAAGAAUAUUUUUUUGUUUUAUUUUCACAUGUGUUUUUUUUCAUAUGUACACACCCAUAUUACAUUAUAAGGAAAACAAUAGCUUCUUUAUUUUAUGACAUAUUAUGCAAUUUAUUUGAAGCUAACGUAGUAGGUAUAGAUGCAGAUAAAUUACAUAAAGAAGAAAGAAGGGUUACAAUUUUAUUAAAAAAUAAAAAAAAUAAAUAUGUUACUAAAUUAUUAGAUAAAAAAAACAUAAUUAAAGGUUUAUCAGAAACAGAUACAAAGAAACAAUCAAUUGUUAAUCACAAUAUUAUGUUAAAAAAAAAAAACAAAAAUGAAAAAAAUGGCUAUGUUAAAAACACAGAUGUUGAUCAUAUACAUUUCGAAAAUGUUCGUACAAAACCAUGCAAUGAAAGUUAUGCAUCAGAUGAUAAUCAAAAAUGUAGAAAAAGUAAAAAGGAAGACAACAAUAACAACAACAACAACAACAGUAUGGAAACUGAUGUUAAUGUUUCCAUAGAAGGAGUUACCAAUAGCAUAUGUGAAGACGACGCGUGCUUUAGUAACAGUGGUGGUGGUAGCGUUGUUGAUGGUUACGAUGGCCAUCAGGAUGACCAUAAGGACGAUGGUAGUAACAAUGACAGUGAAAACAUAAUUAACAAAAUAAAAAACAAAAUAAAUAUUAAUUUGUACGAAAGUGAUUUUUUCAUUAAUGAAAAAUGUGAGAAUUUUUUUUAUUAUAGCAAAUACCUUGACAAAUAUGAAAGUAUUUAUAUAAAAUUUAUACAAAAUUUUAAAAAAUAUUAUGAACAAGAUUCUCCUUUAUUUUAUUUUCAUUUUUUUAUUGUUUAUUUUUUGAAAGAUACAAAUGUAUUAGUUAAAAAAGCUAUUCUAAAAAAAUUUGACAAAAUAAUAACAUUUUUUCCAGCUAACGUAUGUACAAAAUUUAUUUCUCAUUUGUCAAACAUAUUAAAUUUUAAAACAUUAAACUAUUCUUUACGUAAAAAAGUGUCCAAGGUGGUGAUCAAAAUAGUGUCACAAUGUAGUAAUGCUGCAUUGGUUCGAAAAAAUUUAUAUCCAAUUUUUGAAAAACUAUGCAAAGACGAUGUUGCUGCUAUCCGAACAUACACUGCGAAUCAUUUUUAUUUUUUUUUAGUUAAGGGGUGUCCGAAAAUAUAGUACGAAUUAUACUAAAAUGAUAUUGCUCUUUUUGUUUUUUUUUUAACUAACUUUUUUUUGGAUUUAUUAACAAAUACUUUUUUAUAGUAGUUAUAUGAAGCAUUAUAAGAAAUGUUAAAAAAAAAAAAAAAAAAAAAAAAAAAAAAAUUAUAAGUUAUUUUAUAUUCUAAUUUAUUUUUGAAUUUUUUUUUUUUUUUUAAUAGCAAGUUUUUUAAAGGCGGUGGGACUAUACUUCCAUUGGAUGAAUACAAAAAAGGUUUGCUCUCAAAAAGAAACAAAAAGAAACUAAACAAAACUAAACAAAACUAAACAAAACUAAACCAAACAAAACCAAACAAAACCAAACAAAAAUGAAUUACAUGUGUAAAGCAAAUGUAAAAAAAAGAAAAAAACACAAUUAUAACUUUGUUUAAUGAUGCUUAUUUAAUAGUUACAAAAUUAGGCAUAUUUUAAUUAUUGGAAAUUAAAAAUAAAUAUAUUUUUUUCUUUUUUUAUAUAAAUUGU